rnacentral:rRNA from 1 species
CCUAGUAACGGCGAGUGAAGCGGGAAGAGCUCAAUUUUGAAAUCUGCGGUGCUUGCACCGUCAGAAUUGUAGUUUAGAGAAGUGUUUUCCCCGAGAUGUCUGCCGGCCUAAGUUGCUUGGAACAGCACGUCAUAGAGGGUGAGAACCCCGUCUGUGGCUCGGCGGGCGCUCGGCAUGAUGCACUUUCGACGAGUCGGGUUGUUUGGGAAUGCAGCCCUAACUGGGUGGUAAACUCCAUCUAAAGCUAAAUAUUGCCACGAGACCGAUAGCGAACAAGUACCGUGAGGGAAAGAUGAAAAGCACUUUGAAAAGAGAGUUAAAAGCACGUGAAGCCGUUGAAAGGGAAACGCGCUCGGCUAGCAAUGUACCGCGCUGGUUCAGCCGGUUUGGAGGUGGAGGUUGCGUCUGUCGGAUCCGAAUGGACCGCAGGCGUUGCUGUCCGCUUUCGGACCGCGGUGCACUCUAGCGUGGUACGCGUCAGCGUCGGUUGGCAGCCGGC